rnacentral:tRNA from 1 species
CAAAAAAUAGUUUAAUAAAAAUAAUAAUUUUGGGAAUUAUAGAUAAUUUGUAAAAAUUUUUUUUGA